UGGGGAAUUUUGGACAAUGGGCGAAAGCCUGAUCCAGCAAUGCCGCGUGUGUGAAGAAGGCCUUCGGGUUGUAAAGCACUUUUGUCCGGAAAGAAAUCCUUGGCUCUAAUACAGUCGGGGGAUGACGGUACCGGAAGAAUAAGCACCGGCUAACUACGUGCCAGCAGCCGCGGUAAUACGUAGGGUGCAAGCGUUAAUCGGAAUUACUGGGCGUAAAGCGUGCGCAGGCGGUUUGCUAAGACCGAUGUGAAAUCCCCGGGCUCAACCUGGGAACUGCAUUGGUGACUGGCAGGCUAGAGUAUGGCAGAGGGGGGUAGAAUUCCACGUGUAGCAGUGAAAUGCGUAGAGAUGUGGAGGAAUACCGAUGGCGAAGGCAGCCCCCUGGGCCAAUACUGACGCUCAUGCACGAAAGCGUGGGGAGCAAACAGGAUUAGAUACCCUGGUAGUCCACGCCCUAAACGAUGCCAACUAGUUGUUGGGGAUUCAUUUCCUUAGUAACGUAGCUAACGCGUGAAGUUGACCGCCUGGGGGAGUACGGUCGCAAGAUUAAAACUCAAAUGAAUUGACGGGGUCAUAGCUGUUUCCU
rnacentral:rRNA from 1 species